UGGGGCGCCGCCCGGCGCCAUCUUGAGCGCGGCACCUCUCCGCCUUCCCCGAAGGUUAGCGAGAGCGUAGGGCGCGUUGCCAUCGCUCUCUCACACCGCCGCUAUUCGGAGAUGGAGAGUUGAAGGGGGGUGCCGAGAGCGGGACGUGGAGAAAGGCUCGGUUGCAAGCUCUUCAGGGCAGAGGAAACAUCUCUAUUUAUAAAACAG
rnacentral:lncRNA from 1 species